GGGUGAGUAACACGUGGGUGAUCUGCCCUGCACUUCGGGAUAAGCCUGGGAAACUGGGUCUAAUACCGGAUAUGACUUCAGGUUGCAUGACUUGGGGUGGAAAGAUUUAUCGGUGCAGGAUGGGCCCGCGGCCUAUCAGCUUGUUGGUGGGGUAAUGGCCUACCAAGGCGACGACGGGUAGCCGACCUGAGAGGGUGACCGGCCACACUGGGACUGAGACACGGCCCAGACUCCUACGGGAGGCAGCAGUGGGGAAUAUUGCACAAUGGGCGAAAGCCUGAUGCAGCGACGCCGCGUGAGGGAUGACGGCCUUCGGGUUGUAAACCUCUUUCAGCAGGGACGAAGCGCAAGUGACGGUACCUGCAGAAGAAGCACCGGCUAACUACGUGCCAGCAGCCGCGGUAAUACGUAGGGUGCAAGCGUUGUCCGGAAUUACUGGGCGUAAAGAGUUCGUAGGCGGUUUGUCGCGUCGUUUGUGAAAACCAGCAGCUCAACUGCUGGCUUGCAGGCGAUACGGGCAGACUUGAGUACUGCAGGGGAGACUGGAAUUCCUGGUGUAGCGGUGAAAUGCGCAGAUAUCANGAGGAACACCGGUGGCGAANGCGGGUCUCUGGGCAGUAACUGACGCUGANGAACGAAAGCGUGGGUAGCGAACAGGAUUAGAUACCCUGGUAGUCCACGCCGUAAACGGUGGGCGCUAGGUGUGGGUUCCUUCCACGGAAUCCGUGCCGUAGCUAACGCAUUAAGCGCCCCGCCUGGGGAGUA
rnacentral:rRNA from 1 species